AGGAGGAACAACCGCAGUGGCGGGGCCAGCUCUGGAGCCCUGGAGUCAGCUCCCACAGUAGCUCCAGAGCUCUCGGUCUGCAGGGCCUGGAGGCUCCGGGGCGGG
rnacentral:pre_miRNA from 1 species